UGGGGUUUUUGGGUUCCCGCCGCCUCCAUCGUCUGACAGCGAAAAUGCCUUCGCACAAGUCGUUCGUGAUCAAGAAGAAGCUGGCGAAGAAGAUGAGGCAGAACAGGCCCAUUCCCCAUUGGAUCCGCAUGCAGACCGAUAACACGAUCAGGUACAACGCGAAGCGGAGGCACUGGCGCCGCACCAAGCUGAGUUUUUGAGAGGGCGACUAGGUCAUUUCCUUCUCUCAAUCUAGCAGGAAUUUUUUUUUAAAAAGAAAAAUGGAAGUAAUUUUGAGAUAUCAUGUUAGUUUCGUUGGGUAGAAUGGAUUUUGUUUAAUUCCGAGACGAUCUCAGACUUGUUGUUGAUGUCUAUUUUAAGGAUGAUUGAACGUUCUGUUGUUGGUGCUUUCAUUUGAUUUUGAUUUCUGCGGCAAUGUUGCCAGUGGUUAAAAGCAAUACUAAUUCUCUAGGUUUCAAGUUUUAA